rnacentral:rRNA from 1 species
AGUGAACGCUGGCGGCGUGCCUAAUACAUGCAAGUCGAACGGAGUGGCGCACGGGUGAGUAAUAUAUAGCUAACUUGCCCAGUACUAAGGGACAACAGUUGGAAACGACUGCUAAUACCUAAUAGUAAUGGAUAGGGCUCUACCGUAUCAGCUAGUUGGUAAGGUAACGGCUUACCAAGGCUAUGACGCGUAACAGGUCUGAGAGGAUGAUCAGACACACUGGAACUGAGACACGGUCCAGACUCCUACGGGAGGCAGCAGUAGGGCAUAUUGCUCAAUGGGGGAGACCCAGAAGCAGUAACGCCGCGUAGAGGAUGACACUUUUCGGAGCGUAAACUCCGUUUCUUGGGAAAGCGGUACCCAAGGAAUAAGCACCGGCUAACUCCGUGCCAGCCGCCGCGGUAAUUC